GCGGCGAUCCAGCAGGAGAAGGCGCAGAUCCACAGGCCGAAGGAGAUGCAGACGCGGUGGCGGGCGAAGCAGCGGUCCAGCUGGACCGGCACCCUCCGCCACUCAGUCAGCCAAGCCUGGCUCUGGCAGUCAUCCUAGACAGCGACCCCAGCAGCCAAGGAGCCCGGUGAGUUUUGCAAUCUGUCCCUUCCCAUCCAGCCACUCCGCCACACAAUUCAGGUCUACCUCAGCGUUGAUCUGAAUAACCGUUCACCUGAUACUUAUAUGAAGAGUUAGAACGCACCUAUUCCUCUCAUGUAUCAAUCCUUCCUUGGCUUACCCACUGCUUUUGAGAAAACCUCCAGAAUCCCUACACAGGCUCGAAGGCACCUGGGACCGGCUCUGGCUAACUCCCAUCCUGCCGUGCUGCUUCCUGCUUCAGGGCCCUGCUGUCCCCGGUAUUUUCCACACUGCCCUUCUUGCCAUGGUAGGUGGUCAAUAAAUAUUUAUUAAAUUAAUGAACAAAUGUAAUUUUUUUUAUCACCAAGAUUCAGCACAUUUUCAAAUGUAUCUUAAAUACAUAUGGGCACUUGAAGGCUUCUUAACUCUGAAUUCAUGGGUGAACUUUGAGUGGGUCUGUAAACCUUCUGAUGUAGGUCACGGAAUUGUGUAUGCAUCUUUUCUGGAGAAAGCGUCCAUAACUUUCAUUAUUUACAAAAACAUCUGACACAAAACAAGGUAAUGAUCCAAGUUAAGGGAAUAAUAAGUCUCAGAGAAAAAGGGAGAUUAAAGUGAGAAGCUGAAACAGCCAUAGUGUAUUAUCAAUGUGUAUAUCUAAUAAGAAUGAAGGUGACUGUAAAAGGUAAACUGCCCUUCUUACUCCUGAUGGUUUUAAGUACUAAGGACAUCAGGGAUCCCUAAAACGAGCUGAUUUUAUUGCGACUGCCUGCUCUCACUCCCUGUAGGUUAGCUAUAGAGUACACAUGCUUCCCUCUGUA